rnacentral:rRNA from 1 species
CAAUACGCUUUUAGGGGAUACCUAGGCGUUUCUAGCAAUGCAGACGUACCCAGUUACGAAAAGUGAGUCCGAAGGUACCAAUCCUAAUGACGACUCGAUAUCUGCGACGGUAAACCGAUCCAAUGUGGAUGACAAAUCUAUUGAUAUAGUGUUGUUUGCUUGCAGACAAUUCUGGUAUUGGUACAAAAGGUUUGUUAACAACGAGAGGAAGUGAAACAUCUCAGUACUCUCAGGAACCUAAAUCAACCGAGAGAUCGAAGGUAGUGGCGAACGACUUCGAUCCAAAAGGCCAUAACAUAUUAAGAAACUCCUCGAAUCCUUAAGAACCAUAGAAGGUAUAAGUCCUGUAGAGCGGUGAGUAGAUAUGUUUAACAGUAGUGCUUCACACGUGUAAUGAAGCAUGAAUAUGGGAGGACCAUCUUCCAAGCCUGGGUUACUAGAAACGACCGAUAGUGAACAAGUACCGUGAGGGAAAGGUAAAAGGCCUACCGCCAUGAAACUGGAAGCGUACAAGCACUAAGAGCUUAUUUCUAUCAAGAAUAAGUGAUUGGUUACCUUUUGUAUAAUGGCUAAACAAGUUAUAGUUUAAUGGUUGCUGCUUAACCAAUAGGGGAAGGCAUAGGGAAACCGAGUUGUAAUACAGCGUUGAUGAAAUAGUGGGUUUACCUACUCUUUCACAAUCAUUGACUAUAGACCCGAAACCAGGUGAGCUUUCCAUGAGCAGGCUGAAUCUCGUGUAUUACGAGUGGAGGGCCGAACUAGUGUCUGUAGCAAUAGACUUGGAUGACUUGUGGAAAGGAGUGAAAGGCUUAUCAAACCUGGUGAUAGCUGGUUGUCUACGAAAUCGAUAUCAGUCGAGCACUUUCUAACUGUUUUUAGUUGCCGGUAGAGCGACGGUGAGUUCAAGGAGUCUUCGGAUGACCGAGAGUUCGCCAACUCCGAACAGUAACUAAAACGGAAGUAGUGAGACGUUGGAUGACAAGGUCCUUCGUCGAGAGGGAAACAGCCCAGACUAAUAGCUAAGGUCCCAAAGUGUUAUCUAAGUGACUAAGGACGUCUCAAGGCGAAGACAAACCGGAGGAUAGGCUUGGAAGCAGCCAUUCCUGAAAGAUCGCGUAAUAGCACACCGGUAGAAUAGCCAUGGGGUACCGAAAAUGUCCGGGACUAUAAGAUAACCACCGAAGCUGUAGAAUUCAGAGUGAACGAUCAAAAGUACACAUUGAAUUGGUAGUAGACCGUUCUGUACGAUGAAGAAGGUAAGCUGUAAGGUUUACUGGAGUUAUCAGAAAUGAGAAUGUUUAGAUGAGUAACGAUAAACCCUCUGAGAAUGAGGGUCGCCGUAAGUGGAAGGAUUCCAACGCACUGUUCGUCAUCGUUGGGUUAGACAGUUCCUAAGAGGAUAGGCGAAUGCCGAACUUGAUGGAGAAUAGUCUUUCUAUUCGUAAAGGGAUGCUGUGUGAGAGCAUGGUAUUCUGAAUGGAAGGACUGCCUGUUGGUGCAAACCUUGCUGGUUAAACCAGUCAUGAAAGACCACCAACAUUAGAAGACUGUACCUUAAACCGACACAGGUCCACGAGCAGAGUAUGCUAAGGCGCGCGAGAGAACUAUUGUGAAGGAACUCGGCAAAAUUUGUCCGUAACUUCGGGAGAAGGACAGCCUAUCACUUGUAAAAGAGAUAGGCCGCAGAGAAUCGAGAAGAGCGACUGUUUAACAAAAACACAGGUCUAUGCCAACUAGAAAUAGGACGUAUAUGGACUGACGUCUGUCCGAUGCUGGCAAGUGAAGGGAUGUUGGGUGAGCCUAACGUUCUCAAGCCCCAGUCAAUGACAGUUGUAACCCUGACAAUUCUAAGGUAGCGAAAUUCCUUGGCCACUGAUUAUGGUCCCGCAUGAAUGACGUCACGACUCUUCUACUGUCUCCACAAUAGACUCGGUGAAAUUGAACUCUCCGUGAAGAUGCGGAGUAGGACUGCUGGGACGCGAAGACCCCGUGAACCUUGACUGUACGUUUGUACUGAUGAAGGACCAAGCUUGUUCAGAAUAGAUGGAAGGUGUUUACUAAGCAAUUAGUGAAUGCCCCACGUGAGAUACCAUCCUGGCUUGACCACCUUCUCUUACCAAAGGAACCCAUUGAUGGUUAUUUGGGACACUGCAUGCUUGACAGUUUCUCUGGGGCGGAGUCCUCCGAAAACGUAUCGGAGGAGCACAAAGGCUACCUCGAAGAGAGUAUCUUCAAAGCGUAAGGGCUUAUGGUAGCUUGACUGUAAGACAGACAUGUCAAACAGGAGUCAUGUAAAUGGCUGGUCCUAGUGAUCCGGUGUUGCCUUAUGGAAGGAACAUCGCUCAACGAACAAAAGGUACUCCGGGGAUAACAGGCUAGUCACUCUUGAGAGUCCAUAUCGAUGGAGUGGUUCGGCACCUCGAUGUCGACUCAGCGCAUCCUGGAGCUGUAGCAGGUUCCAAGGGUUAGACUGUUCGUCUACUAAGGCGCUACGUGAGUUGGGUUCAGAACGUUGUGAAACAGUUUGGUCUCUAUCUGGCAGUCCCAAUAUGACAAGUGAGGAGGUUUGCGCGUAGUACGACAGGACCCGCAAGUAUGAAUCCCUGGUGCAUCUGCUAUUUACAAUCUUGUAUAUAUAUGAAACGUUAUUAUUUUCGAAUGGUAAAAAACUAGUGUGUAUAGAAGUUGAAAGGUAUCGCAGAGUAGCUACAUUUGUAAUGGAUAACCGCUGAAGGCAUCUGAAAUGGGAAGCCAGCUCCAAGAUUUCUUGUCACAGGUCCACAGAAGAACACUGUGUAGAUCGGCUCAGCAUGAA